rnacentral:rRNA from 1 species
GACGAACGCUGGCGGCGUGCCUAAUACAUGCAAGUCGAGCGGACGAAUCGAAAGCUUGCUUUUGAUUCGUUAGCGGCGGACGGGUGAGUAACACGUGGGCAACCUGCCCUGUAGACGGGGAUAACACCGAGAAAUCGGUGCUAAUACCGGAUAACACGAAAUGUCGCAUGACGUUUCGUUGAAAGACGGCGCAAGCUGCCGCUACAGGAUGGGCCCGCGGCGCAUUAGCUAGUUGGUGAGGUAACGGCUCACCAAGGCGACGAUACGUAGCCGACCUGAGAGGGUGAUCGGCCACACUGGGACUGAGACACGGCCCAGACUCCUACGGGAGGCAGCAGUAGGGAAUCUUCCGCAAUGGACGAACGUCUGACGGAGCAACGCCGCGUGAGCGAAGAAGGCCUUCGGGUCGUAAAGCUCUGUUGUUAGGGAAGAACAAGUAACGCAGUAACUGGCGUUACCGUGACGGUACCUAACGAGAAAGCCACGGCUAACUACGUG